rnacentral:rRNA from 1 species
UACGAAGGGUGCUAGCGUUGUUCGGAAUUACUGGGCGUAAAGCGCGCGUAGGCGGCGAUGCAAGUCAGAGGUGAAAGCCCUGGGCUCAACCCAGGAAUUGCCUUUGAAACUGCAUUGCUAGAGUGUCGGAGGGGAUAGCGGAAUUCCUAAUGUAGAGGUGAAAUUCGUAGAUAUUAGGAGGAACACCGGUGGCGAAGGCGGCUAGCUGGACCAGCACUGACACUGAAGCACGAAAGUGUGGGGAGCGAACAGG